rnacentral:rRNA from 1 species
GUGAGGAAUAUUGGACAAUGGGCGCAAGCCUGAUCCAGCCAUGCCGCGUGCAGGAAGACGCAUCUAUGGUGUGUAAACUGCUUUUGUACGGGAAGAAACACUCCCUCGUGAGGGAGCUUGACGGUACCGUAAGAAUAAGGAUCGGCUAACUCCGUGCCAGCAGCCGCGGUAAUACGGAGGAUCCAAGCGUUAUCCGGAAUCAUUGGGUUUAAAGGGUGCGUAGGCGGCCUUGUAAGUCAGGGGUGAAAGACGGUAGCUUAACUAUCGCAGUGCCUUUGAUACUGCAAGGCUUGAAGGUACUUGAGGUAGGCGGAAUGUGACAAGUAGCGGUGAAAUGCUUAGAUAUGUCACAGAACACCAAUUGCGAAGGCAGCUUACUAAAGUAUGAUUGACGCUGAGGCACGAAAGCAUGGGGAUCAAACAGGAUUAGAAACCCGAGUAGUCC